UUUAAUUGUUUGUAUCAGAUGGUCAUGAAUGUUCUUAUUUUCUUCAAUUUUCAGAGAGAAAUGUUGGGUGAAAUCAUUGGUUUGAAGAGUGAGUUGGAGAGCACAUUUGGCUACCUACCUACAAAAAGCUGAGGUAGAAAUUCAGUCCAAAACACAGCAGCUUGAAGGAUAUGAACAAGAAAUUAAUCAACAGAAAGAUCUAUAUAGCAUUUUGAUAAGAGGCAAAUCAACAAUGGAUGCAAGAAGCUAAACCUCUUUUGCAUCUGCUUUCUCAUUUUAUAUAGCAAGCACUGAAGAAUUUUCAUUCACCAUCAACAAGCGACAUCAACAUAGAUUGUGAUAUCUUUAAGGCUAGAAUGUAACCCUUAAUUGUUAUAGUGUCGUUUUGCUUUGGACAUGCUGUGUUACAGAAGCAAAACAACAAAGAAUACAGUAUGUGACUGUCUAGCCCGAUAUCUUGAAAAUAUUGGGUUUCUUUCGGGCCAUCUGUCGAACCUUCUGUUGUUUUCUCUUGUCAGAUGGUAACCAGUGUUUGGAGGGAAGCAGGAAAAGAAGCAGGAAGAAGUCAGUGGAAGAAGAGACUACCUGGGACUCCUACAGCGAGGAGAAAGCUGCAGGAGCGCCUCAGUUGAGUUUGAGGCAGACGCCCCGACCCAGGACGAUCUUCCAGGCCGGUCUGAAGCCACACACACACAACAAACCUCGCAGACAGAGCCGCAAACAGGAGCACAUCAUGUUACUGUCUGGAAGGGCUGGAGGUGUUGGAAGUGUUCCCCGGGUGGCUGCGGUUGUAUCCGGCAGCGUUCCUAAUACCCCCCAUAUGGAGCUGAUGGAGCAAAACUCCAAGGACUCGGCUCAGAGCAUCAGCACCUCGUCCAGCUCUGAGAUCCAGCCAGAGUACA